rnacentral:rRNA from 1 species
GAUUCCCCCAGUAGCGGCGAGCGAACGGGGAGGAGCCCAGAGCCUGAAUCAGCAUGUGUGUUAGUGGAAGCGUCUGGAAAGGCGCGCGAUACAGGGUGACAGCCCCGUACACAAAAGCGCAUGUGCUGUGAGCUCGAUGAGUAGGGCGGGACACGUGGUAUCCUGUCUGAAUAUGGGGGGACCAUCCUCCAAGGCUAAAUACUCCUGACUGACCGAUAGUGAACCAGUACCGUGAGGGAAAGGCGAAAAGAACCCCGGCGAGGGGAGUGAAAAAGAACCUGAAACCGUGUACGUACAAGCAGUGGGAGCACCCUUUGGGGUGUGACUGCGUACCUUUUGUAUAAUGGGUCAGCGACUUAUAUUCUGUAGCAAGGUUAACCGAAUAGGGGAGCCGGAGGGAAACCGAGUCUUAAUUGGGCGUUAAGUUGCAGGGUAUAGACCCGAAACCCGGUGAUCUAGCCAUGGGCAGGUUGAAGGUUGGGUAACACUAACUGGAGGACCGAACCGACUAAUGUUGAAAAAUUAGCGGAUGACCUGUGGCUGGGGGUGAAAGGCCAAUCAAACCGGGAGAUAGCUGGUUCUCCCCGAAAGCUAUUUAGGUAGCGCCUCGUGAAUUCAUCUCCGGGGGUAGAGCACUGUUUCGGCUAGGGGGCCAUCCCGGCUUACCAACCCGAUGCAAACUGCGAAUACCGGAGAAUGUUAUCACGGGAGACACACGGCGGGUGCUAACGUCCGUCGUGAAGAGGGAAACAACCCAGACCGCCAGCUAAGGUCCCAAAGUCAUGGUUAAGUGGGAAACGAUGUGGGAAGGCCCAGACAGCCAGGAUGUUGGCUUAGAAGCAGCCAUCAUUUAAAGAAAGCGUAAUAGCUCACUGGUCGAGUCGGCCUGCGCGGAAGAUGUAACGGGGCUAAACCAUGCACCGAAGCUGCGGCAGCGACGCUGAUGCGUUGUUGGGUAGGGGAGCGUUCUGUAAGCCUGCGAAGGUGGCCUGUGAGGGUUGCUGGAGGUAUCAGAAGUGCGAAUGCUGACAUAAGUAACGAUAAAGCGGGUGAAAAGCCCGCUCGCCGGAAGACCAAGGGUUCCUGUCCAACGUUAAUCGGGGCAGGGUGAGUCGACCCCUAAGGCGAGGCCGAAAGGCGUAGUCGAUGGGAAACGGGUUAAUAUUCCCGUACUUGGUGUUACUGCGAAGGGGGGACGGAGAAGGCUAUGUUGGCCGGGCGACGGUUGUCCCGGUUUAAGCGUGUAGGUGUGUGUUCCAGGUAAAUCCGGUUCACUUUAACACUGAGGCGUGAUGACGAGGCACUACGGUGCUGAAGCAACAAAUGCCCUGCUUCCAGGAAAAGCCUCUAAGCAUCAGGUAACAUCAAAUCGUACCCCAAACCGACACAGGUGGUCAGGUAGAGAAUACCAAGGCGCUUGAGAGAACUCGGGUGAAGGAACUAGGCAAAAUGGUGCCGUAACUUCGGGAGAAGGCACGCUGACAUGUAGGUGAAGUGAUUUACUCAUGGAGCUGAAGUCAGUCGAAGAUACCAGCUGGCUGCAACUGUUUAUUAAAAACACAGCACUGUGCAAACACGAAAGUGGACGUAUACGGUGUGACGCCUGCCCGGUGCCGGAAGGUUAAUUGAUGGGGUCAGCGCAAGCGAAGCUCCUGAUCGAAGCCCCGGUAAACGGCGGCCGUAACUAUAACGGUCCUAAGGUAGCGAAAUUCCUUGUCGGGUAAGUUCCGACCUGCACGAAUGGCGUAAUGAUGGCCAGGCUGUCUCCACCCGAGACUCAGUGAAAUUGAACUCGCUGUGAAGAUGCAGUGUACCCGCGGCAAGACGGAAAGACCCCGUGAACCUUUACUAUAGCUUGACACUGAACAUUGAGCCUUGAUGUGUAGGAUAGGUGGGAGGCUUUGAAGUGUGGACGCCAGUCUGCAUGGAGCCGGCCUUGAAAUACCACCCUUUAAUGUUUGAUGUUCUAACGUGGACCCGUGAUCCGGGUUGCGGACAGUGUCUGGUGGGUAGUUUGACUGGGGCGGUCUCCUCCUAAAGAGUAACGGAGGAGCACGAAGGUUGGCUAAUCCUGGUCGGACAUCAGGAGGUUAGUGCAAUGGCAUAAGCCAGCUUGACUGCGAGCGUGACGGCGCGAGCAGGUGCGAAAGCAGGUCAUAGUGAUCCGGUGGUUCUGAAUGGAAGGGCCAUCGCUCAACGGAUAAAAGGUACUCCGGGGAUAACAGGCUGAUACCGCCCAAGAGUUCAUAUCGACGGCGGUGUUUGGCACCUCGAUGUCGGCUCAUCACAUCCUGGGGCUGAAGUAGGUCCCAAGGGUAUGGCUGUUCGCCAUUUAAAGUGGUACGCGAGCUGGGUUUAGAACGUCGUGAGACAGUUCGGUCCCUAUCUGCCGUGGGCGCUGGAGAACUGAGGGGGGCUGCUCCUAGUACGAGAGGACCGGAGUGGACGCAUCACUGGUGUUCGGGUUGUCAUGCCAAUGGCACUGCCCGGUAGCUAAAUGCGGAAGAGAUAAGUGCUGAAAGCAUCUAAGCACGAAACUUGCCCCGAGAUGAGUUCUCCCUGAGACUUA